rnacentral:rRNA from 1 species
UAGGGAAUCUUCGGCAAUGGACGAAAGUCUGACCGAGCAACGCCGCGUGAGUGAAGAAGGUUUUCGGAUCGUAAACCUCUGUUGUUAGAGAAGAACAAGGGUGAGAGUAACUGUUCACCCCUUGACGGUAUCUAACCAGAAAGCCACGGCUAACUACGUGCCGG